GUCAUCAAGCCACAGAGACGACAUCCUAUUGUAAAGGCAGAAAUGACUUCCAUCUACAUGAUCAUCACAGGUCUGGCAAUAACAGCUCUGGCAAAAGGGGCUUUGGAAUGCAAUUUCUCUGAACCUACUGGAGCUCAGCGGUGUUUUGGAGCACUCGCUGAGCCGUUGACUUUUUACUUGCCCAACGGCGAAAAUAAAAAAUUGAUGUUGAUAAAGAAUACCAAACUAAGAAUUUUUAAAAUACUCAAUAAUACAGUAGCAUCUAUAGAUAAGGAAUACCAUCAUUCUGCAUUCUUCUCAAAUGGAACUUUUAAGCUUGACAAGGCAACAAAAAAAGACUCUGGACAUUACCAGUUGGAAACAUAUAGAGCUACUGAUGGUGUAUUAUUGCACAAAAUCAACAUGUCU